GACGAACGCUGGCGGCGUGCUUAACACAUGCAAGUCGAGCGGUAAGGCCCUUUCGGGGGUACACGAGCGGCGAACGGGUGAGUAACACGUGGGUGACCUGCCCUCAGCUCUGGGAUAAGCCUGGGAAACCGGGUCUAAUACUGGAUAUGACUCCAUGACGCAUGUUGUGGGGUGGAAAGCCUUGUGCGGCUGAGGAUGGGCCCGCGGCCUAUCAGCUUGUUGGUGGGGGAUGGCCUACCAAGGCGACGACGGGUAGCCGGCCUGAGAGGGCGACCGGCCACACUGGGACUGAGACACGGCCCAGACUCCUACGGGAGGCAGCAGUGGGGAAUCUUGCGCAAUGGGCGAAAGCCUGACGCAGCGACGCCGCGUGAGGGGUGACGGCCU
rnacentral:rRNA from 1 species